GCUAUUCACUUCACUUACGAACUCGAUUUGAUCUGUCAAAUAAAAAGUUGAUGUUCGUCGAGUGAAAUCUAUACGUUUAUUAGUUAUUUGCUGGUGAUAUCGUGUCUAAUAAGACUCAAUAAGUUUCAAUUAAGGAAGCUCAUACUUUGGACAAUUUUGAGUUGCGUCGACAAGCCUAUGAAAUUCGUAGUUUGUCUCUAUUGACCCGAGAUGAUAACUAUGUCAGCGUAUAUAGUCUUUCGAAGCAAUUAAUCGACCAACUCGAGCUUGAGUUGCUCCCUAUAAUAAAAAAGUACCAAACGUCGAAGAAAAGGACUUACAACUCGUAUUAAGGUUUCAUGAAAAAAUCAUCAUAGGCAGCAUUGAUGGCACUCUCGUAACUUAAAAAGACCGGCUGAGCAUGAAGAGCGCUUCUUCUGUCGUAAGAAUUAUCAUGCUAGGAUGUGCAAUUGAAUAAAUAUCAUGUGCAAUUGAUUACAGAUGACAGUUUUAUUUUUAAUGAAGAUGUAAGAGAUCACUUAGAGGCUUUGACAAAUGCUGGUGAAGAAAUUGUUUUGUUCGGUGGUUCUGGAUAUGCUGAGCGGGCUAACCUUAUGACACCUAUAAAUAAUGCCCCAGACAAUACUCCUGAAACAUAAAUUAUAACAUGCUUGCGCAACUCCGUAGAACGCCAAAUGGUUUGUUGAAAAGACGCUUCAGGUGUUUGUUAGUACACAGGGUCCUAGACUAUCAUCCUGAUAAAGUUGCAAUGCAUGUUGUAUUCUGCAUAACGUGUUCAACCGGGCUGGAAUGGAGGUAGUUAAUUUGACUGAAGAUGAAAACCUAGAGGAAGCUCAGGUGGCAGCCGAGACACAGAGAAGGCAACGUGCCAAAUCAUGAUGAUUUAAAUGUUGGACGGUCGCAAAGGCCUCAAAGGACAAAGAAAAAAAAGUCAAAGAUCUUGUGAAUAGAAAUGUGGUGAUCGCGUCGACGUUAACUCCACCUCAGUGUGAGAAGAGUAACAGAACCUUAGUACUAAAUAUUUUAAUUAUCUAUGUAGAUCUAGUUAUAGUACAUACUAAGGAAUAACAGGUAAUUUAGAGGUAUAGGUAUUAGUGAGUGUGUUGUUAUCAUAUAGAAUUACCUACUUUGUGUAAUGUUAUACAAUAAAAUUGUAUAUAAUAAGCUAUUAUUACUUUAGGGUCUGCUAUUAACUUCAAAAUUGUAUUUUAUGAAUAAAUAACGGUUUUUAUUAUUAUUUAUAUUUAGUACAUAAGAACAUUGAAAAAAAAGAUUGUAAUAUAAGCAAAACCAGAAAAGAAACAACGAAUAAUAAUAAUAUAA
rnacentral:lncRNA from 1 species